rnacentral:lncRNA from 7 species
GAUCCAUCCCAGUGCAGAUCAGCAUCCAACAAAUCCCUCACGAGCGUCUCGAUCGAGCAAGCAGCUGAAGCCAUAUGGCUCGCCAGGCCACAGCCCUCUUCGCAUCUGCGCUGCUGCUGCUGGCAGUAGCCUUCAUGUCUCAUGAUUCUGGUGUGGAAGCGUGGUGCCUGGAGUACCCUUCGCCGGACCCCAACUGCUGCCACGGAAGCGACGGCCUUCGUUACUGCCGCGACUUGUGCGUGGGGGUCGGCAAUGGCUUCGUCGGCGGGGAGUGCAAUAAGGGCACCUGCUACUGCCUCAAGUGCGCCGACGAGCCACCACCGGCGUCGCGUGCUCUGUAGGGCUCAUAUAGAGUCUGCAGCGGAUGCAUGCAUCAUGCGUAGCCCAGAUGCGCCGGCGCCGUGCAUGCAUUAGGAUUGUUUUCGUAUAAGAAAUAUGAAGUUUCAAUUCGUAAACCAUACGGCGUGUGAAAAAAAAAUAUGCGUA